CAGUCCUCAUUCCAAGUGUACUCUUUAAUCCACAUCACCUAUUUCACGCAUCCUCUACCUACCUCCCUUCUGAUAACCAUCAGUUUGUUCUCUAUAGUUAAGGUCUGUUUCUUGGUUUUUCUAUUUUCC